GCAAACUUGGUCAUUUAGAGGAAGUAAAAGUCGUAACAAGGUUUCCGUAGGUGAACCUGCGGAAGGAUCAUUAUCAACCUUAGCGGGACCUUCAAUGUAGGAGGUUUUCGCGCAUGUAUAUAUUUAAAACCAACUCUAAUGAAUCAAAAAUGAAUUAAUAUUUAUUGAAAUAAAUAUAUAAAAAAGAUCACUUUCAACAACGGAUCUCUUGGCUCUCUAAGAGACAGGCAAACUUGGUCAUUUAGAGGAAGUAAAAGUCGUAACAAGGUUUCCGUAGGUGAACCUGCGGAAGGAUCAUUAUCAACCUUAGCGGGACCUUCAAUGUAGGAGGUUUUCGCGCAUGUAUAUAUUUAAAACCAACUCUAAUGAAUCAAAAAUGAAUUAAUAUUUAUUGAAAUAAAUAUAUAAAAAAGAUCACUUUCAACAACGGAUCUCUUGGCUCUCGCAUCGAUGAAGAACGCAGC
rnacentral:misc_RNA from 1 species